AGCCCAUGUUGCAGGUUAACGACCACUGUUGAUUAAUGGGUCCAAAAAGCACUCAAGAGAUGUAUAUAAUUUUUAAAAAUAGUCCAAAUAGUUUGAAAGG